CCCGUCUCCUUCUAUUGAACAGGCAGGGUCUGAUGCUGAGGGCUGGUUUCAACAUUUAAAGACAACAUGAAAUGGCUCCUAGAUAUUACUUCCUCAAAGUGGCCUUUUUCCAAGAAAAGUGCAUUUUAGGUGAAGGAAAACCAUAGGAGGAAUCUUUUUUUUUUCCAAAUGGUUUAAGGUUAGCCAGGCAUCGCCAGAUGAAUUGGUCCCAUUAGUCUGGAAGCUCUCCGUACAUCACCCACGGGGGUCAGACCAAAGCGCUUCUGGACGCAAUUGGACAGGCCUUCAUCCAAUCAGAGCACCGGAACAGGUAAAAGGUGGAGACGCAAACAGCAGCUCUGUUCAUCUGCAGGUGUAAGACGUAUGAAAUACCCUCAUGAAACGGUGUCCUCGUUCCAGGACAAACAUGCAUGAGUUUUUUUACCCGUGAAAGUUUUGGCCCAGAGGAGUUUUCUUCUUAACAUGUUUGGAGGGAGGGAGAGGAUUUUUGAAUAAGUGAUGAAUGUCAAGGUGGAGUAUUCCAGGAAUAAAAAGGAAAGGUCAAACUAAGUUUCUCGCUUCACUGGUGCUCCAGCGAAUGAAUGGCCAAUAAUAUACGACCUAUCUUAUCCUUGAGAAAAGCUUGACUAAAAAUAAAAAUUCCCUCUAAAAAUGUAUUCAGUUUAACAUUCACUUGAAAAUGUGCACUAAAUCUACCUCAUAAACUCAUCAAAUAUAUUGAGGACAGUUUUCUUUGGACCAAUGGUUUCCUUUUUUUGUUGAAAAUAUCAAACUGUGAAGUUAUUGAAAAGCUGGUUGCAUCGUUUUGUAUCAGAAAGAUUGUGAGUAAACAAAAGACAGUAGAAAAAGCCUUUCUGGUAAACUAAAAACGAAAUGCUAAAUACUUAAGGUGGUAAGAAAAAAUCCUUCAGUUUUCACAUGGGGAUAAAGUUGAAGGUUUAAAGGAUUAAAGUGGAACAUUGCUUUUGGAUAUACAACGUCCCUGAAUAUAGAACAAAGCUUAAAUGGU
ensembl:lncRNA